GCCAAGGUAGCUUAACAGUCCAAAGCACAGCACUGAAAAUGCUCCCAAGGGGGUUAAAGUCCCUCCCUUAGCA
rnacentral:tRNA from 1 species